ensembl:lncRNA
AAUAAAAAAAAAACUAUUUUUGAAUUUACUUUUUUAUGAAAAUUUAAUUUAACCAUUAAAAUGAAAUCCUGAAAAAUUUAUACACAAAGACGGAAUCCAGAAAAAAAUAAAGCAGAAAAAAAACACCAGAAUUUAGAAUAAAUAUAAAAUGGAUUUCAUAGGACCCUGGCCAAUCAAACUGAGCCGAACAUUUACCAAAAGCAUAAAUGUAAAUGACUAUUAGCAUUGCUUUUUCUGUCUUUCUCUAUUAUGUUUAUUAUUUCUGUCUCUCUAGAACACAUUUCCAGUGCUGUAUAAGUCUCUCUGUCUGAAUGACUCAGACCUGUGGCUCACGUUCUCACGCAGUUCCUGCUGCGAACAGGAAAUCCCGUCUCCCAUUGCCAAGAAGAUCUCCCUCUUUCAGCAGGUGAGCUGUCAAUCAACAGUCUACACCAAUCAGAAUGCUCACAGAGCACUGACUCUAUUUCAGUCUCUGUCUCAGGUGUUGGUGGUUCAGGCGUUACGGCCGGAUUGCUAACAGAGUGCGAUGGCAGCUUAUGCAUCCCAAGCUUUGGGGAUGAGGGAACUGUGUCCUCCUCAGCUGAAUCUGAAGCGUCUGUAUGGAGAGACGCUGGAGUCUGAGCCCGUCAUACUGAUCAUCUCUGCCGGCGCGGAUCUAUCUCAGGAGCUCCGGGAACUCGCCAGUCAGAUCGUGGUGCGAGAAAUCUUCCAUGAGGUGGUGAUGGCUGUCCUUGAAGAACCUGCACCUGGUCACAGCGUGGCUCCCCCUGCUGGAGAAGGAGCUCAACAGUAUGAAACCCAAAGCCAGCUUCAGAUUCUGGUUGACUGCUGAGGUUCAUGUGAAGUUCACUCCUGUACUGCUCCAGUCCAGCCUGAAGGUCACCUAUGAGGUCAGUGUGUGUCAAAUAUAAUGUAUUCUCUUUUUAAUGAACCAAUUUUGAUUUUUACAUUUUUAAUCUACUGUAUGCUGUUUUGGGUUUAUGCAUCAACAAAACUUGAAACAUUAUUUUUAGCAUGCUUCUUAUUCAAUAAUGAUGUUUAUUAAUAAAAUGAUUAUUUAAAAAUCA